AUUGCUGUUAGGGUUUAGAUGUUUUUUGUUUAGUCUUCUGAGGAAUGUAGUGGUAGUAUAGGUUCCAAGGUGGAGGAUUCUUUGGAAUUCACUCUCACCCUUGAAACUGGAAGAUCUUAGAUUCUAUAAAGGGGGGGGGGGGGAGAGAUUGUGUGCACAGAAGGAGCAUGGGCUCAGACUAUUCUCUGAAUGAUAUUGUGACAAGUCUGUCCGAAGGUAAGUGGCUGGUUAGGUGUGGGAAAGAGAUAGAGUGAUAGCCCCCGCUUUCGUCAGUUGACUUGGCGGUUUGAGGUAGGCUGAUCAAGGGCUUGCACUGGCCGGCGCAUGUCGACCUGUCACAUGUUCCAGUCGAGUCUCCGAGCUCAAUCUGUGUGUAAAAAUUAUGUGUUGGUAGAAAGUUUAAUGACUCAGCUCAGUUGGUAUGCUAUGCUGUCUAUCUUUUAGACUAUGUGUUUGUAGAACAAUAUUAUGUAUAUAUUAUGUUACAGGGCUAGGAAAAGGUUAAAGGUUUUUGGCGUUAGCGUUAAAAUCAAUGUCCAAAACCUUUUUAGGAACUCUUUUCCAACGUUUUGGAGGGAGCUAGACUAGAAAAAAAAGAAAAAAGAAAAAAAAAAAUUUGGGGUGUUCGGGCUUCCUGAAGGUAAUACCCGGGUAUUAGGUUAUGGGGCUAGGGUAAGGUUUAAGGUUUUUGGCGUAUGGGUUAAAAUCACUGUCCAAAACCUUUUUAGGAACAUGUUUCAGACCUUUUGGAGUUAGUUAGACCAAAAAAAAUGAAAAAUGAAAAAAAUAUAUUUGGGGUGUUCGGGCUUCCUGAAGGUAAUACCCGGGUAUUAGGUUAGGGGCUAAGGUAAGGUUUAAGGUUUUUGGCGUGAGGGUUAAAAUCACUGUCCAAAACCUUUGUAGGAACUCUUUACCAUCCUUUUGGAGUUAGUUAGACCAAAAAAAAAAAAGAAAAAUGAAAAAAAAAUAUUUGGGGUGUUCGGGCUUCCUGAAGGUAAUACCCGGGUAUUAGGUUAUGGGGCUAGGGUAAGGUUUAAAGUUUUUGGCGUAUGGGUUAAAAUCACUGUCCAAAACCUUUUUAGGAACAUGUUUCAGACCUUUUGGAGUUGGUUACAACAAAAAAAAUUUAAAAUGAAAAAAAAAUUUUUUUGGGGUGUUCGGGCUUCCUGAAGGUAAUACUAGGUUUCUGGGCUAGGGUAAUGUUUAAGGUUUUUGGCGUUAGGGUUAAAAUCAAUGUCCAAAACCUUUGUAGGAACUCUUUUCCAACCUUUGAGAGCAAGUUAGACCAAAAAUAAAGAAAAAUAAAAAAUAUAUAUUUGGGGUGUUCGGGCUUCCUGAAGGUAAUACCCGGGUAUUAGGUUUUGGGGCUAGGGUUAGGUUUAAGGUUUUUGGCGUUAGGGUUAAAAUAACUGUCCAAUAUUUUUUAAGGAACAUGUUUCAGACCUUUGGGAGUUAGUUAGACAAAAAAAAAGAAAAAGAAAAAAAAAUAUUUGGGGUGUUCGGGCUUCCUGAAGGUAAUACCCGGGUAUUAGGUUAUGGGGCUAGGGUAAGGUUUAAGGAUUUUGGCGUUAGGGUUAAAAUAACUGUCCAAUAUUUUUAAGGAACAUGUUUCAGACCUUUGGGAGUUAGUUAGACAAAAAAAAAGAAAAAGAAAAAAAAAUAUUUGGGGUGUUCGGGCUUCCUGAAGGUAUUAGGUUUUGGGGCUAGGGUAAGGUUUAAGGUUUUUGGCGGUAGGGUUAAAAUCACUGUCCAAAACCUUUGUAGGAACUCUUUUCCAACCUUUUGGAGUUAGUUAGACCAAAAAAAAGAAAAAAGAAAAAAAAUAUUUGGGGUGUUCGGGCUUCCUGAAGGUAAUACCCGGGUAUGAGGUUAUGGGGCUAGGGUAAGGUUUAAGGUUUUUGGCGUUAGGGUUAAAAUCACUGUCCAAAACCUUUUUAGGAACAUGUUUCAGACCUUUUGGAGUUGGUAACACCAAAAAAAAAUGUAAAAUGAAAAAAAAAUAUUUGGGGUGUUCAAGCUUCCUGAAGGUAAUACCCGGGUAUUAGGUUUUGGGGCUAGGGUAAGGUUUAAGGUUUUUGGCGUUAGGGUUAAAAUCACUGUCCAAAACCUUUUAAGGAACAAGAUUCAGACCUUUUGGAGUUGGUUACACCAAAAAAAAUGUAAAAUGACAAAAAAAAUAUUUGGGGUGUUCGGGCUUCCUGAAGGUAAUACCCUUCAGGUUUAAGUAUUAGGUUAUGGGGCUAGGAUUAGGUUUAAGGUUUUUGGCGUAAGGGUUAAAAUCACUGUCCAAAACCUUUUUAGGAACAUGUUUCAGACCUUUUGGAGUUGGUUACACCAAAAAAAAAAAAGAAAAAUAAAAAAUAUAUAUUUGGGGUGUUCGGGCUUCCUGAAGGUAAUACCCGGGUAUUAGGUUAUGGGGCUAGGUUAAGGUUUAAGGUUUUUGGCGUGAGGGUUAAAAUCACUGUCCAAAACCUUUGUAGGAAGUCUUUUCCAACCUUUUGGAGUUAGUAAGACAAAAAAAAAAAGAUAAAUGAAAAAAAAAUUUUUGGGGUGUUCGGGCUUCCUGAAGGUAAUACCCGGGUAUUAGGUUAUGGGGCUAGGGUAAGGUUUAAGGUUUUUGGCGUAAGGGUUAAAAUCACUGUCCAAAACCUUUUUAGGAACAUGUUUCAGACCUUUUGGAGUUGGUUACACCAAAAAAAAUGUAAAAUGAAAAAAAUUUAUUUUGGGGUGUUCGGGCUUCCUGAAGGUAAUACUAGGUUUCUGGGCUAGGGUAAGGUUUAAGGUUUUUGGCGUUAGGGUUAAAAUCACUGUCCAAAACCUUUGUAGGAACUCUUUUCCAACCUUUUGGUGUUAGUUAGACCAAAACAAAAAUAAAAAUAAAAAAUAUAUAUUUGGGGUGUUCGGGCUUCCUGAAGGUAAUACCCGGGUAUUAGGUUAUGGGGCUAGGGUAAGGUUUAAGGUUUUUGGCGUGAGGGUUAAAAUCACUGUCCAAAACCUUUGUAGGAACUCUUUUCCAACCUUUUGGAGUUAGUUAGACAAAAAAAAAAGAUAAAUGAAAAAAAAAUAUUUGGGGUGUUCGGGCUUCCUGAAGGUAAUACCCGGGUAUUAGGUUUUGGGGCUAGGGUAAGGUUUAAGGUUUUUGGCGUUAGGGUUAAAAUCACUGUCCAAAACCUUUGUAGGAACUCUUUUCCAACCUUUUGGAGUUAGUUAGACCAAAAAAAAAGAAAAAAGAAAAAAAUAUAUUUGGGGUCUUCGGGCUUCCUGAAGGUAAUACCCGGGUAUUAGGUUAUGGGGCUAGGGUAAGGUUUAAGGUUUUUGGCGUUAGGGUUAAAAUCACUGUCCAAAACCUUUUUAGGAACAUGUUUCAGACCUUUUGGAGUUAGUUAGACCAAAAAAAAUGAAAAAUGAAAAAAAUAUAUUUGGGGUGUUCGGGCUUCCUGAAGGUAAUACCCGGGUAUUAGGUUAGGGGCUAAGGUAAGGUUUAAGGUUUUUGGCGUGAGGGUUAAAAUCACUGUCCAAAACCUUUGUAGGAACUCUUUACCAUCCUUUUGGAGUUAGUUAGACCAAAAAAAAAAAAAGAAAAAAAUAUAUUUGGGGUCUUCGGGCUUCCUGAAGGUAAUACCCGGGUAUGAGGUUAUGGGGCUAGGGUAAGGUUUAAGGUUUUUGGCGUUAGGGUUAAAAUCACUGUCCAAAACCUUUUUAGGAACAUGUUUCAGACCUUUUGGAGUUGGUAACACCAAAAAAAAAUGUAAAAUGAAAAAAAAAUAUUUGGGGUGUUCGGGCUUCCUGAAGGUAAUACCCGGGUAUUAGGUUUUGGGGCUAGGGUAAGGUUUAAGGUUUUUGGCGUUAGGGUUAAAAUCACUGUCCAAAACCUUUUAAGGAACAAGAUUCAGACCUUUUGGAGUUGGUUACACCAAAAAAAAUGUAAAAUGACAAAAAAAAUAUUUGGGGUGUUCGGGCUUCCUGAAGGUAAUACCCUUCAGGUUUAAGUAUUAGGUUAUGGGGCUAGGAUUAGGUUUAAGGUUUUUGGCGUAAGGGUUAAAAUCACUGUCCAAUAUUUUUUAAGGAACAUGUUUCAGACCUUUUGGAGCUAGUUUGACCAAAAAAAAAAGAAAAAUAAAAAAUAUAUAUUUGGGGUGUUCGGGCUUCCUGAAGGUAAUACCCGGGUAUUAGGUUAUGGGGCUAGGUUAAGGUUUAAGGUUUUUGUCGUGAGGGUUAAAAUCACUGUCCAAAACCUUUGUAGGAAGUCUUUUCCAACCUUUUGGAGUUAGUAAGACAAAAAAAAAAAGAUAAAUGAAAAAAAAAUAUUUGGGGUGUUCGGGCUUCCUGAAGGUAAUACCCGGGUAUUAGGUUAUGGGGCUAGGGUAAGGUUUAAGGUUUUUGGCGUAAGGGUUAAAAUCACUGUCCAAAACCUUUUUAGGAACAUGUUUCAGACCUUUUGGAGUUGGUUACACCAAAAAAAAUGUAAAAUGAAAAAAAAUUUUUUUUUGGGUGUUCGGGCUUCCUGAAGGUAAUACUAGGUUUCUGGGCUAGGGUAAUGUUUAAGGUUUUUGGCGUUAGGGUUAAAAUCAGUGUCCAAAACCUUUGUAGGAACUCUUUUCCAACCUUUGAGAGCAAGUUAGACCAAAACAAAAAUAAAAAUAAAAAUAUAUAUUUGGGGUGUUCGGGCUUCCUGAAGGUAAUACCCGGGUAUUAGGUUAUGGGGCUAGGGUAAGGUUUAAGGUUUUUGGCGUGAGGGUUAAAAUCACUGUCCAAAACCUUUGUAGGAACUCUUUUCCAACCUUUGGGAUUAAGUUAGACAAAAAAAAAAAGAUAAAUGAAAAAAAAAUAUUUGGGGUGUUCGGGCUUCCUGAAGGUAAUACCCGGGUAUUAGGUUUUGGGGCUAGGGUAAGGUUUAAGGUUUUUGGUGGUAGGGUUAAAAUCACUGUCCAAAACCUUUGUAUGAACUCUUUUCCGGCCUUUUGGAGUUAGUUAGACCAAAAAAAAAAGAAAAAAGAAAAAAAUAUAUUUGGGGUCUUCGGGCUUCCUGAAGGAAAUACCCAGGUAUUAGGUUAUGGGGCUAGGGUAAGGUUUAAGGUUUUUGGCGUUAGGGUUAAAAUCACUGUCCAAAACCUUUUUAGGAACAUGUUUCAGACCUUUUGGAGUUAGUUAGACCAAAAAAAAUGAAAAAUGAAAAAAAUAUAUUUGGGGUGUUCGGGCUUCCUGAAGGUACUACCCGGGUAUUAGGUUAGGGGCUAAGGUAAGGUUUAAGGUUUUUGGCGUGAGGGUUAAAAUCACUGUCCAAAACCUUUGUAGGAACUCUUUACCAUCCUUUUGGAGUUAGUUAGACCAAAAAAAAAAAAAGAAAAAUGAAAAAAAAAUAUUUGGGGUGUUCGGGCUUCCUGAAGGUAAUACCCGGGUAUUAGGUUAUGGGGCUAGGGUAAGGUUUAAAGUUUUUGGCGUAUGGGUUAAAAUCACUGUCCAAAACCUUUUUAGGAACAUGUUUCAGACCUUUUGGAGUUGGUUACACCAAAAAAAAUGUAAAAUGAAAAGAAAAUUUUUUUUGGGUGUUCGGGCUUCCUGAAGGUAAUACUAGGUUUCUGGGCUAGGGUAAUGUUUAAGGUUUUUGGCGUUAGGGUUAAAAUCAAUGUCCAAAACCUUUGUAGGAACUCUUUUCCAACCUUUGAGAGCAAGUUAGACCAAAAAUAAAGAAAAAUAAAAAAUAUAUAUUUGGGGUGUUCGGGCUUCCUGAAGGUAAUACCCGGGUAUUAGGUUUUGGGGCUAGGGUUAGGUUUAAGGUUUUUGGCGUUAGGGUUAAAAUAACUGUCCAAUAUUUUUUAAGGAACAUGUUUCAGACCUUUGGGAGUUAGUUAGACAAAAAAAAAGAAAAAGAAAAAAAAAAUAUUUGGGGUGUUCGGGUUUCCUGAAGGUAAUACCCGGGUAUUAGGUGAUGAGGCUAGGGUAAGGUUUAAGGAUUUUGGCGUUAGGGUUAAAAUAACUGUCCAAUAUUUUUUAAGGAACAUGUUUCAGACCUUUGGGAGUUAGUUAGACAAAAAAAAAGAAAAAGAAAAAAAAAAUAUUUGGGGUGUUCGGGCUUCCUGAAGGUAUUAGGUUUUGGGGCUAGGGUAAGGUUUAAGGUUUUUGGUGGUAGGGUUAAAAUCACUGCCCAAAACCUUUGUAGGAACUCUUUUCCGACCUUUUGGAGUUAGUUAGACCAAAAAAAAGAAAAAAGAAAAAAAUAUAUUUGGGGUCUUCGGGCUUCCUGAAGGUAAUACCCGGGUAUGAGGUUAUGGGGCUAGGGUAAGGUUUAAGGUUUUUGGCGUUAGGGUUAAAAUCACUGUCCAAAACCUUUUUAGGAACAUGUUUCAGACCUUUUGGAGUUGGUAACACCAAAAAAAAAUGUAAAAUGAAAAAAAAAUAUUUGGGGUGUUCAAGCUUCCUGAAGGUAAUACCCGGGUAUUAGGUUUUGGGGCUAGGGUAAGGUUUAAGGUUUUUGGCGUUAGGGUUAAAAUCACUGUCCAAAACCUUUUAAGGAACAAGAUUCAGACCUUUUGGAGUUGGUUACACCAAAAAAAAUGUAAAAUGAAAAAAAAAAUAUUUGGGGUGUUCGGGCUUCCUGAAGGUAAUACCCUUCAGGUUUAAGUAUUAGGUUAUGGGGCUAGGAUUAGGUUUAAGGUUUUUGGCGUAAGGGUUAAAAUCACUGUCCAAUAUUUUUUAAGGAACAUGUUUCAGACCUUUUGGAGCUAGUUUGACCAAAAAAAAAAAGAAAAAUAAAAAAUAUAUAUUUGGGGUGUUCGGGCUUCCUGAAGGUAAUACCCGGGUAUUAGGUUAUGGGGCUAGGUUAAGGUUUAAGGUUUUUGUCGUGAGGGUUAAAAUCACUGUCCAAAACCUUUGUAGGAAGUCUUUUCCAACCUUUUGGAGUUAGUAAGACAAAAAAAAAAAGAUAAAUGAAAAAAAAUUUUUUGGGGUGUUCGGGCUUCCUGACGGUAAUACCCGGGUAUUAGGUUAUGGGGCUAGGGUAAGGUUUAAGGUUUUUGGCGUAAGGGUUAAAAUCACUGUCCAAAACCUUUUUAGGAACAUGUUUCAGACCUUUUGGAGUUGGUUACACCAAAAAAAAUGUAAAAUGAAAAAAAUUUUUUUUUGGGUGUUCGGGCUUCCUGAAGGUAAUACUAGGUUUCUGGGCUAGGGUAAUGUUUAAGGUUUUUGGCGUUAGGGUUAAAAUCAAUGUCCAAAACCUUUUUAGGAACAUGUUUCCAACCUUUGAGUGCAAGUUAGACCAAAACAAAAAUAAAAAUAAAAAAUAUAUAUUUGGGGUGUUCGGGCUUCCUGAAGGUAAUACCCGGGUAUUAGGUUAUGGGGCUAGGGUAAGGUUUAAGGUUUUUGGCGUGAGGGUUAAAAUCACUGUCCAAAACCUUUUAAGGAACAAGAUUCAGACCUUUUGGAGUUGGUUACACCAAAAAAAAUGUAAAAUGAAAAAAAAAAUAUUUGGGGUGUUCGGGCUUCCUGAAGGUAAUACCCUUCAGGUUUAAGUAUUAGGUUAUGGGGCUAGGAUUAGGUUUAAGGUUUUUGGCGUUAGGGUUAAAAUCACUGUCCAAUAUUUUUUAAGGAACAUGUUUCAGACCUUUUGGAGCUAGUUAGACAAAAAAAAAAGAAAAAUAAAAAAUAUAUAUUUGGGGUGUUCGGGCUUCCUGAAGGUAAUACCCGGGUAUUAGGUUAUGGGGCUAGGUUAAGGUUUAAGGUUUUUGGCGUUGAGGGUUAAAAUCACUGUCCAAAACCUUUGUAGGAACACGUUUCCAACCUUUUGGAGUUAGUAAGACAAAAAAAAAAAGAUAAAUGAAAAAAAAUUUUUUGGGGUGUUCGGGCUUCCUGAAGGUAAUACCCGGGUAUUAGGUUAUGGGGCUAGGGUAAGGUUUAAGGUUUUUGGCGUAAGGGUUAAAAUCACUGUCCAAAACCUUUUUAGGAACAUGUUUCAGACCUUUUGGAGUUGGUUACACCAAAAAAAAUGUAAAAUGAAAAAAAAAUUUUUUUGGGGUGUUCGGGCUUCCUGAAGGUAAUACUAGGUUUCUGGGCUAGGGUAAUGUUUAAGGUUUUUGGCGUUAGGGUUAAAAUCAAUGUCCAAAACCUUUGUAGGAACUCUUUUCCAACCUUUGAGAGCAAGUUAGACCAAAACAAAAAUAAAAAUAAAAAUAUAUAUUUGGGGUGUUCGGGCUUCCUGAAGGUAAUACCCGGGUAUUAGGUUAUGGGGCUAGGGUAAGGUUUAAGGUUUUUCGGCGUGAGGGUAAAAAUCACUGUCCAAAACCUUUGUAGGAACUCUUUUCCAACCUUUGGGAUUAAGUUAGACAUAAAAAAAAAAGAUAAAUGAAAAAAAAAUAUUUGGGGUGUUCGGGCUUCCUGAAGGUAAUACCCGGGUAUUAGGUUUUGGGGCUAGGGUAAGGUUUAAGGUUUUUGGUGGUAGGGUUAAAAUCACUGUCCAAAACCUUUGUAGGAACUCUUUUCCAACCUUUUGGAGUUAGUUAGACCAAAAAAAAAAGAAAAAAGAAAAAAAUAUAUUUGGGGUCUUCGGGCUUCCUGAAGGAAAUACCCAGGUAUUAGGUUAUGGGGCUAGGGUAAGGUUUAAGGUUUUUGGCGUUAGGGUUAAAAUCACUGUCCAAAACCUUUUUAGGAACAUGUUUCAGACCUUUUGGAGUUGGUUACACCAAAAAAAAUGUAAAAUGAAAAAAAAACAUAUUUGGGGUGUUCAAGCUUCCUGAAGGUAAUACCCGGGUAUUAGGUUUUGGGGCUAGGGUAAGGUUUAAGGUUUUUGGCGUUAGGGUUAAAAUCACUGUCCAAAACCUUUUUAGGAACAUGUUUCAGACCUUUUGGAGUUGGAAACACCAAAAAAAAAUGUAAAAUGAAAAAAAAUAUUUGGGGUGUUCAAGCUUCCUGAAGGUAAUACCCGGGUAUUAGGUUUUGGGGCUAGGGUAAGGUUUAAGGUUUUUGGCGUUAGGGUUAAAAUCACUGUCCAAAACCUUUUAAGGAACAAGAUUCAGACCUUUUGGAGUUGGUUACACCAAAAAAAAUGUAAAAUGAAAAAAAAAAUAUUUGGGGUGUUCGGGCUUCCUGAAGGUAAUACCCUUCAGGUUUAAGUAUUAGGUUAUGGGGCUAGGAUUAGGUUUAAGGUUUUUGGCGUAAGGGUUAAAAUCACUGUCCAAUAUUUUUUAAGGAACAUGUUUCAGACCUUUUGGAGCUAGUUUGACCAAAAAAAAAAGAAAAAGAAAAAAUAUAUAUUUGGGGUGUUCGGGCUUCCUGAAGGUAAUACCCGGGUAUUAGGUUAUGGGGCUAGGUUAAGGUUUAAGGUUUUUGGCGUGAGGGUUAAAAUCACUGUCCAAAACCUUUGUAGGACCUCUUUUCAAACCUUUUGGUGUUAGUUAGACAAAAAAAAAAAACGAAAAAUGAAAAAAAAAUAUUUGGGGUGUUCGGGCUUCCGGAAGGUAAUACCCGGGUAUUAGGUUAUGGGGCUUUGGAAAGGUUUAAGGUUUUUGGCGUGAGAGUUAAAAUCACUGUCCAAAACCUUUGUAGGAAGUCUUUUCCAACCUUUUGGAGUUAGUUAGUCCAAUAAAAAAAUGAAAAAUGAAAAAAAAAAAAUUUGGGGUGUUCGGGCUUCCUGAAGGUAAUACCCGGGUAUUAGGUUUUGGGGCUAGGAUAAGGUUUAAGGUUUUUGGCGUUAGGGUUAAAAUCACUGUCCAAUAUUUUUUAAGGAACAUGUUUCAGACCUUUUGGAGUUAGUUCGACCAAAAAAAAAGAAAAAAGAAAAAAAAAUAUUUUGGGUUUUCGGGCUUCCUGAAGGUAUUAGGUUUUGGGGCUAGUGUAAGGUUUAAGGUUUUUGGCGUUAGGGUUAAAAUCACUGUCCAAAACCUUUUAAGGAACAAGAUUCAGACCUUUUGGAGUUGGUUACACCAAAAAAAAUGUAAAAUGAAAAAAAAUUUUUUUUGGGUGUUCGGGCUUCCUGAAGGUAAUACUAGGUUUCUGGGCUAGGGUAAGGUUUAAGGUUUUUGGCGUUAGGGUUAAAAUCAAUGUCCAAAACCUUUGUAGGAACUCUUUUCCAACCUUUGAGAGCAAGUUAGACCAAAACAAAAAUAAAAAUAAAAAUAUAUAUUUGGGGUGUUCGGGCUUCCUGAAGGUAAUACCCGGGUAUUAGGUUUUGGGGCUAGGGUUAGGUUUAAGGUUUUUGGCGUUAGGGUCAAAAUAACUGUCCAAUAUUUUUUAAGGAACAUGUUUCAGAACUUUGGGAGUUAGUUAGACAAAAAAAAAAAAAGAAAAAGAAAAAAAAAAUAUUUGGGGUGUUCGGGCUUCCUGAAGGUAAUACCCGGGUAUUAGGUUAUGGGGCUAGGGUAAGGUUUAAGGUUUUUGGCGUUAGAGUUAAAAUCAGUGUCCAAAACCUUUUUAGGAACAUGUUUAAGACCUUUUGGAGUUGGUUACACCAAAAAAAAAUGUAAAAUGAAAAAAAAUAUAUUUGGGGUGUUCGGGCUUCCUGAAGGUAAUACCCGGGUAUUAGGUUUUGGGGCUAGGGUAAGGUUUAAGGUUUUUGGUGGUAGGGUUAAAAUCACUGUCCAAAACCUUUGUAGGAACUCUUUUCCAACCUUUUGGAGUUAGUUAGACCAAAAAAAAAGAAAAAAGAAAAAAAUAUAUUUGGGGUCUUCGGGCUUCCUGAAGGAAAUACCCAGGUAUUAGGUUAUGGGGCUAGGGUAAGGUUUAAGGUUUUUGGCGUUAGGGUUAAAAUCACUGUCCAAAACCUUUUUAGGAACAUGUUUCAGAUCUUUUGGAGUUGGUUACACCAAAAAAAAAUGUAAAAUGAAAAAAAAAGUAUUUGGGGUCUUCGGGCUUCCUGAAGGAAAUACCCAGGUAUUAGGUUAUGGGGCUAUAGUAAGGUUAAAGGUUUUUGGCGUUAGGGUUAAAAUCACUGUCCAAAACCUUUGUAGGAACUAUUUUCCAGCCUUUUGGAGUUAGUUAGACCAAAAAAAAAACGAAAAAUGAAAAAAAAUAUUUGGGGUUUUUGGGCUUCCUGAAGGUAAUACCCGGGUAUGAGGUUAUGGGGCUAGGGUAAGGUUUAAGGUUUUUGGCGUUAGAGUUAAAAUCAGUGUCCAACACCUUUUUAGGAACAUGUUUAAGACCUUUUGGAGUUGGUUACACCAAAAAAAAUGUAAAAUGAAAAAAAAAAUAUUUGGCGUCUUCGGGCUUCCUGAAGGAAAUACCCAGGUAUUAGGUUAUGGGGCUAUAGUAAGGUUAAAGGUUUUUGGCGUUAGGGUUAAAAUCACCGUCCAAAACCUUUGUAGGAACAUGUUUCAGACCUUUUGGAGUUGGUAACACCAAAAAAAAAUGUAAAAUGAAAAAAAAAUAUUUGGGGUGUUCAAGCUUCCUGAAGGUAAUACCCGGGUAUUAGGUUUUGGGGCUAGGGUAAGGUUUAAGGUUUUUGGCGUUAGGGUUAAAAUCACUGUCCAAAACCUUUUAAGGAACAAGAUUCAGACCUUUUGGAGUUGGUUACACCAAAAAAAAUGUAAAAUGAAAAAAAAAAUAUUUGGGGUGUUCGGGCUUCCUGAAGGUAAUACCCUUCAGGUUUAAGUAUUAGGUUAUGGGGCUAGGAUUAGGUUUAAGGUUUUUGGCGUAAGGGUUAAAAUCACUGUCCAAUAUUUUUUAAGGAACAUGUUUCAGACCUUUUGGAGCUAGUUAGACCAAAAAAAAAGAAAAAGAAAAAAUAUAUAUUUGGGGUGUUCGGGCUUCCUGAAGGUAAUACCCGGGUAUUAGGUUUUGGGGCUAGGAUUAGGUUUAAGGUUUUUGGCGUUAGGGUUAAAAUCACUGUCCAAUAUUUUUUAAGGAACAUGUUUCAGACCUUUUGGAGUUAGUUCGACCAAAAAAAAAGAAAAAAGAAAAAAAAUAUUUUGGGUUUUCGGGCUUCCUGAAGGUAUUAGGUUUUGGGGCUAGUGUAAGGUUUAAGGUUUUUGGCGUUAGGGUUAAAAUCACUGUCCAAAACCUUUUAAGGAACAAGAUUCAGACCUUUUGGAGUUGGUUACACCAAAAAAAAUGUAAAAUGAAAAAAAAUUUUUUUUGGGUGUUCGGGCUUCCUGAAGGUAAUACUAGGUUUCUGGGCUAGGGUAAGGUUUAAGGUUUUUGGCGUUAGGGUUAAAAUCAAUGUCCAAAACCUUUGUAGGAACUCUUUUCCAACCUUUGAGAGCAAGUUAGACCAAAACAAAAAUAAAAAUAAAAAUAUAUAUUUGGGGUGUUCGGGCUUCCUGAAGGUAAUACCCGGGUAUUAGGUUUUGGGGCUAGGGUUAGGUUUAAGGUUUUUGGCGUUAGGGUCAAAAUAACUGUCCAAUAUUUUUUAAGGAACAUGUUUCAGAACUUUGGGAGUUAGUUAGACAAAAAAAAAAAAAAGAAAAAGAAAAAAAAAAUAUUUGGGGUGUUCGGGCUUCCUGAAGGUAAUACCCGGGUAUUAGGUUAUGGGGCUAGGGUAAGGUUUAAGGUUUUUGGCGUUAGAGUUAAAAUCAGUGUCCAAAACGUUUUUAGGAACAUGUUUAAGACCUUUUGGAGUUGGUUACACCAAAAAAAAAUGUAAAAUGAAAAAAAAUAUAUUUGGGGUGUUCGGGCUUCCUGAAGGAAAUACCCAGGUAUUAGGUUAUGGGGCUAUAGUAAGGUUAAAGGUUUUUGGCGUUAGGGUUAAAAUCACUGUCCAAAACCUUUGUAGGAACUAUUUUCCAACCUUUUGGAGUUAGUUAGACCAAAAAAAAGAAAAAAGAAAAAAAAAUAUUUGGGGUUUUUGGGCUUCCUGAAGGUAAUACCCGGGUAUGAGGUUAUGGGGCUAGGGUAAGGUUUAAGGUUUUUGGCGUUAGAGUUAAAAUCAGUGUCCAACACCUUUUUAGGAACAUGUUUAAGACCUUUUGGAGUUGGUUACACCAAAAAAAAUGUAAAAUGAAAAAAAAAAUAUUUGGCGUCUUCGGGCUUCCUGAAGGAAAUACCCAGGUAUUAGGUUAUGGGGCUAUAGUAAGGUUAAAGGUUUUUGGCGUUAGGGUUAAAAUCACCGUCCAAAACCUUUGUAGGAACAUGUUUCAGACCUUUUGGAGUUGGUAACACCAAAAAAAAAGUAAAAUGAAAAAAAAAAUAUUUGGGGUGUUCAAGCUUCCUGAAGGUAAUACCCGGGUAUUAGGUUUUGGGGCUAGGGUAAGGUUUAAGGUUUUUGGUGUUAGGGUUAAAAUCACUGUCCAAAACCUUUUAAGGAACAAGAUUCAGACCUUUUGGAGUUGGUUACACCAAAAAAAAUGUAAAAUGAAAAAAAAAAUAUUUGGGGUGUUCGGGCUUCCUGAAGGUAAUACCCUUCAGGUUUAAGUAUUAGGUUAUGGGGCUAGGAUUAGGUUUAAGGUUUUUGGCGUAAGGGUUAAAAUCACUGUCCAAUAUUUUUUAAGGAACAUGUUUCAGACCUUUUGGAGCUAGUUUGACCAAAAAAAAAGAAAAAGAAAAAAUAUUUAUUUGGGGUGUUCGGGCUUCCUGAAGGUAAUACCCGGGUAUUAGGUUAUGGGGCUAGGUUAAGGUUUAAGGUUUUUGUAGUGAGGGUUAAAAUCACUGUCCAAAACCUUUGUAGGACCUCUUUUCAAACCUUUUUGUGUUAGUUAGACAAAAAAAAAAACGAAAAAUUAAAAAAAAAUAUUUGGGGUGUUCGGGCUUCCGGAAGGUAAUACCCGGGUAUUAGGUUAUGGGGCUUUGGAAAGGUUUAAGGCUUUUGGCGUGAGAGUUAAAAUCACUGUCCAAAACCUUUGUAGGAAGUCUUUUCCAACCUUUUGGAGUUAGUUAGACCAAUAAAAAAAUGAAAAAUGAAAAAAAAAAAUUUGGGGUGUUCGGGCUUCCUGAAGGUAAUACCCGGGUAUUAGGUUUUGGGGCUAGGAUUAGGUUUAAGGUUUUUGGCGUUAGGGUUAAAAUCACUGUCCAAUAUUUUUUAAGGAACAUGUUUCAGACCUUUUGGAGUUAGUUCGACCAAAAAAAAAGAAAAAAGAAAAAAAAAUAUUUGGGGUUUUCGGGCUUCCUGAAGGUAUUAGGUUUUGGGGCUAGUGUAAGGUUUAAGGUUUUUGGCGUUAGGGUUAAAAUCACCGUCCAAAACCUUUGUAGGAACAUGUUUCAGACCUUUUGGAGUUGGUUACACCAAAAAAAAAUGUAAAAUGAAAAAAAAAUAUUUGGGGUGUUCAAGCUUCUUGAAGGUAAUACCCGGGUAUUAGGUUUUGGGGCUAGGGUAAGGUUUAAGGUUUUUGGCGUUAGGGUUAAAAUCACUGUCCAAAACCUUUUAAGGAACAAGAUUCAGACCUUUUGGAGUUGGUUACACCAAAAAAAAUGUAAAAUGAAAAAAAAAAUAUUUGGGGUGUUCGGGCUUCCUGAAGGUAAUACCCUUCAGGUUUAAGUAUUAGGUUAUGGGGCUAGGAUUAGGUUUAAGGUUUUUGGCGUAAGGGUUAAAAUCACUGUCCAAUAUUUUUUAAGGAACAUGUUUCAGACCUUUUGGAGCUAGUUAGACCAAAAAAAAAAAGAAAAAGAAAAAAUAUAUAUUUGGGGUGUUCGGGCUUCCUGAAGGUAAUACCCGGGUAUUAGGUUUUGGGGCUAGGAUUAGGUUUAAGGUUUUUGGCGUUAGGGUUAAAAUCACUGUCCAAUAUUUUUUAAGGAACAUGUUUCAGACCUUUUGGAGUUAGUUCGACCAAAAAAAAAAGAAAAAAGAAAAAAAAUAUUUUGGGUUUUCGGGCUUCCUGAAGGUAUUAGGUUUUGGGGCUAGUGUAAGGUUUAAGGUUUUUGGCGUUAGGGUUAAAAUCACUGUCCAAAACCUUUUAAGGAACAAGAUUCAGACCUUUUGGAGUUGGUUACACCAAAAAAAAUGUAAAAUGAAAAAAAAUUAUUUUUGGGUGUUCGGGCUUCCUGAAGGUAAUACUAGGUUUCUGGGCUAGGGUAAGGUUUAAGGUUUUUGGCGUUAGGGUUAAAAUCAAUGUCCAAUACCUUUGUAGGAACUCUUUUCCAACCUUUGAGAGCAAGUUAGACCAAAACAAAAAUAAAAAUAAAAAUAUAUAUUUGGGGUGUUCGGGCUUCCUGAAGGUAAUACCCGGGUAUUAGGUUUUGGGGCUAGGGUUAGGUUUAAGGUUUUUGGCGUUAGGGUCAAAAUAACUGUCCAAUAUUUUUUAAGGAACAUGUUUCAGAACUUUGGGAGUUAGUUAGACAAAAAAAAAAAAAAGAAAAAGAAAAAAAAAAUAUUUGGGGUGUUCAGGCUUCCUGAAGGUAAUACCCGGGUAUUAGGUUAUGGGGCUAGGGUAAGGUUUAAGGUUUUUGGCGUUAGAGUUAAAAUCAGUGUCCAAAACGUUUUUAGGAACAUGUUUAAGACCUUUUGGAGUUGGUUACACCAAAAAAAAAUGUAAAAUGAAAAAAAAUAUAUUUGGGGUGUUCGGGCUUCCUGAAGGAAAUACCCAGGUAUUAGGUUAUGGGGCUAUAGUAAGGUUAAAGGUUUUUGGCGUUAGGGUUAAAAUCACUGUCCAAAACCUUUGUAGGAACUAUUUUCCAACCUUUUGGAGUUAGUUAGACCAAAAAAAAAACGAAAAAUGAAAAAAAAUAUUUGGGGUUUUUGGGCUUCCUGAAGGUAAUACCCGGGUAUGAGGUUAUGGGGCUAGGGUAAGGUUUAAGGUUUUUGGCGUUAGAGUUAAAAUCAGUGUCCAACACCUUUUUAGGAACAUGUUUAAGACCUUUUGGAGUUGGUUACACCAAAAAAAAUGUAAAAUGAAAAAAAAAAUAUUUGGCGUCUUCGGGCUUCCUGAAGGAAAUACCCAGGUAUUAGGUUAUGGGGCUAUAGUAAGGUUAAAGGUUUUUGGCGUUAGGGUUAAAAUCACCGUCCAAAACCUUUGUAGGAACAUGUUUCAGACCUUUUGGAGUUGGUAACACCAAAAAAAAAUGUAAAAUGAAAAAAAUAAAAAUUUGGGGUGUUCAAGCUUCCUGAAGGUAAUACCCGGGUAUUAGGUUUUGGGGCUAGGGUAAGGUUUAAGGUUUUUGGCGUUAGGGUUAAAAUCACUGUCCAAAACCUUUUAAGGAACAAGAUUCAGACCUUUUGGAGUUGGUUACACCAAAAAAAAUGUAAAAUGAAAAAAAAAUAUUUGGGGUGUUCGGGCUUCCUGAAGGUAAUACCCUUCAGGUUUGAGUAUUAGGUUAUGGGGCUAGGAUUAGGUUUAAGGUUUUUGGCGUAAGGGUUAAAAUCACUGUCCAAUAUUUUUUAAGGAACAUGUUUCAGACCUUUUGGAGCUAGUUUGACCAAAAAAAAAGAAAAAGAAAAAAUAUUUAUUUGGGGUGUUCGGGCUUCCUGAAGGUAAUACCCGGGUAUUAGGUUAUGGGGCUAGGUUAAGGUUUAAGGUUUUUGUAGUGAGGGUUAAAAUCACUGUCCAAAACCUUUGUAGGACCUCUUUUCAAACCUUUUUGUGUUAGUUAGACAAAAAAAAAACGAAAAAUUAAAAAAAAAUAUUUGGGGUGUUCGGGCUUCCGGAAGGUAAUACCCGGGUAUUAGGUUAUGGGGCUUUGGAAAGGUUUAAGGCUUUUGGCGUGAGAGUUAAAAUCACUGUCCAAAACCUUUGUAGGAAGUCUUUUCCAACCUUUUGGAGUUAGUUAGACCAAUAAAAAAAUGAAAAAUGAAAAAAAAAAUUUGGGGUGUUCGGGCUUCCUGAAGGUAAUACCCGGGUAUUAGGUUUUGGGGCUAGGAUUAGGUUUAAGGUUUUUGGCGUUAGGGUUAAAAUCACUGUCCAAUAUUUUUUAAGGAACAUGUUUCAGACCUUUUGGAGUUAGUUCGACCAAAAAAAAAGAAAAAAGAAAAAAAAAUAUUUGGGGUUUUCGGGCUUCCUGAAGGUAUUAGGUUUUGGGGCUAGUGUAAGGUUUAAGGUUUUUGGCGUUAGGGUUAAAAUCACUGUCCAAAACCUUUUAAGGAACAAGAUUCAGACCUUUUGGAGUUGGUUACACCAAAAAAAAUGUAAAAUGACAAAAAAAAUAUUUGGGGUGUUCGGGCUUCCUGAAGGUAAUACCCUUCAGGUUUAAGUAUUAGGUUAUGGGGCUAGGAUUAGGUUUAAGGUUUUUGGCGUAAGGGUUAAAAUUACUGUCCAAUAUUUUUUAAGGAACAUGUUUCAGACCUUUUGGAGUUAAUUAGACAAAAAAAAAAGAUAAAUGAAAAAAAAAUAUUUGGGGUUUUCGGGCUUCCUGAAGGUAAUACCCGGGUAUUAGGUUAUGGGGCUAGGGUAAGGUUUAAGGUUUUUGGCGUUAGAGUUAAAAUCAGUGUCCAACACCUUUUUAGGAACAUGUUUCAGACCUUUUGGAGUUGGUUACACCAAAAAAAAAAUGUAAAAUGAAAAAAAAAUAUUUGGGGUGUUCAAGCUUCCUGAAGGUAUUACCUGGGUAUUAGGUUUUUGGGCUAGGGUAAGGUUUAAGGUUUUUGGCGUUAGGGUCAAAAUCACUGUCCAAAACCUUUUAAAGGAACAAGAUUCAGACCUUUUGGAGUUGGUUACACCAAAAAAAAUGUAAAAUGAAAAAAAAAAUAUUUGGGGUGUUCGGGAUUCCUGAAGGUAAUACCCUUCAGGUUUAAGUAUUAGGUUAGGGGGCUAGGAUUAGGUUUAAGGUUUUUGGCGUAAGGGUUAAAAUCACUAUCCAAUAUUUUUUAAGGAACAUGUUUCAGACCUUUUGGAGCUAGUUUGACCAAAAAAAAAGAAAAAGAAAAAAUAUAUAUUUGGGGUGUUCGGGCUUCCUGAAGGUAAUACCCGGGUAUUAGGUUAUGGGGCUAGGUUAAGGUUUAAGGUUUUUGGCAUAAGGGUUAAAAUCACUGUCCAAUAUUUUUUAAGGAACAUGUUUCAGACCUUUUGGAGUUAAUUAGACAAAAAAAAAAGAUAAAUGAAAAAAAAAUAUUUGGGGUGUUCAGGCUUCCUGAAGGUAAUACCCGGGUAUUAGGUUAUGGGGCUAGGGUAAGGUUUAAGGUUUUGGCGUUAGAGUUAAAAUCAGUGUCCAACACCUUUUUAGGAACAUGUUUCAGACCUUUUGGAGUUGGUUACACCAAAAAAAAAAUGUAAAAUGAAAAAAAAAUAUUUGGGGUGUUCAAGCUUCCUGAAGGUAAUACCUGGGUAUUAGGUUUUUGGGCUAGGGUAAGGUUUAAGGUUUUUGGCGUUAGGGUCAAAAUCACUGUCCAAAACCUUUUAAAGGAACAAGAUUCAGACCUUUUGGAGUUGGUUACACCAAAAAAAAUGUAAAAUGAAAAAAAAAAUAUUUGGGGUGUUCGGGAUUCCUGAAGGUAAUACCCUUCAGGUUUAAGUAUUAGGUUAGGGGGCUAGGAUUACGUUUAAGGUUUUUGGCGUAAGGGUGAAAAUAACUAUCCAAUAUUUUUUAAGGAACAUGUUUCAGACCUUUUGGAGCUAGUUUGACCAAAAAAAAAGAAAAAGAAAAAAUAUAUAUUUGGGGUGUUCGGGCUUCCUGAAGGUAAUACCCGGGUAUUAGGUUAUGGGGCUAGGGUAAGGUUUAAGGUUUUUGGCGUUAGAGUUAAAAUCAAUGUCCAAAACCUUUUUAGGAACAUGUUUAAGACCUUUUGGAGCUCGUUAGACAAAAAAAAAAAGAUAAAUGAAAAAAAAAUAUUUGGGGUGUUCGGGCUUCCUGAAGGUAAUAACCGGGUAUUAGGUUAUGGGGCUAGGGUAAGGUUUAAGGUUUUUGGCGUAAGGGUUAAAAUCACUGUCCAAAACCUUUUUAGGAACAUGUUUCAGACCUUUUGGAGUUGGUUACACCAAAAAAAAUGUAAAAUGAAAAAAAAAUUUUUUUUGGGUUUUCGGGCUUCCUGAAGGUAAUACUAGGUUAAUGGGCUAGGGUAAUGUUUAAGGUUUUUGGCGUUAGGGUUAAAAUCAAUGUCCAAAACCUUUGUAGGAACUCUUUUCCAACCUUUGAGAGCAAGUUAGACCAAAACAAAAAGAAAAAUAAAAAAUAUAUAAGGGGUGUUCGGGCUUCCUGAAGGUAAUACCCGGGUAUUAGGUUAUGGGGCUAGGGUAAGGUUUAAGGUUUUUCAGCGUGAGGAUAAAAAUCACCGUCCAAAACCUUUGUAGGAACUCUUUUCCAACCUUUGGGAAUUAGUUAGACAAAAAAAAAAAGGUAUAUGCGUUAGGGUUAAAAUAACUAUCCAAUAUUUUUUAAGGAACAUGUUUCAGACCUUUUGGAGCUAGUUUGACCAAAAAAAAAGAAAAAGAAAAAAUAUAUAUUUGGGGUGUUCGGGCUUCGUGAAGGUAAUACCCGGGUAUUAGGUUUUGGGGCUAGGGUUAGGUUUAAGGUUUUUGGCGUUAGGGUUAAAAUAACUGUCCAAUAUUUUUUAAGGAACAUGUUUCAGACCUUUGGGAGUUAGUUAAACAAAAAAAAAAGAAAAAGAAAACAAAAAUAUUUGGGGUGUUCGGGCUUCCUGAAGGUAAUACCCGGGUAUUAGGUUAUGGGGCUAGGGUAAGGUUUAAGGUUUUUGGCGUUAGAGUUAAAAUCAAUGUCCAAAACCUUUUUAGGAACAUGUUUAAGACCUUUUGGAGCUCGUUAGACAAAAAAAAAAAGAUAAAUGAAAAAAAAAUAUUUGGGGUGUUCGGGCUUCCUGAAGGUAAUAACCGGGUAUUAGGUUAUGGGGCUAGGGUAAGGUUUAAGGUUUUUGGCGUAAGGGUUAAAAUCACUGUCCAAAACCUUUUUAGGAACAUGUUUCAGACCUUUUGGAGUUGGUUACACCAAAAAAAAUGUAAAAUGAAAAGAAAAUUUUUGGGGUGUUCGGGCUUCCUGAAGGUAAUACUAGGUUAAUGGGCUAGGGUAAUGUUUAAGGUUUUUGGCGUUAGGGUUAAAAUCAAUGUCCAAAACCUUUGUAGGAACUCUUUUCCAACCUUUGAGAGCAAGUUAGACCAAAACAAAAAGAAAAAUAAAAAAUAUAUAAGGGGUGUUCGGGCUUCCUGAAGGUAAUACCCGGGUAUUAGGUUAUGGGGCUAGGGUAAGGUUUAAGGUUUUUCAGCUUGAGGAUAAAAAUCACGGUCCAAAACCUUUGUAGGAACUCUUUUCCAACCUUUGGGAAUUAGUUAGACAAAAAAAAAAAGGUAAAUGCGUUAGGGUUAAAAUAACUAUCCAAUAUUUUUUAAGGAACAUGUUUCAGACCUUUUGGAGCUAGUUUGACCAAAAAAAAAAGAAAAAGAAAAAAUAUAUAUUUGGGGUGUUCGGGCUUCGUGAAGGUAAUACCCGGGUAUUAGGUUUUGGGGCUAGGGUUAGGUUUAAGGUUUUUGGCGUUAGGGUUAAAAUAACUGUCCAAUAUUUUUUAAGGAACAUGUUUCAGACCUUUGGGAGUUAGUUAGACAAAAAAAAAAGAAAAAGAAAACAAAAAUAUUUGGGGUGUUCGGGCUUCCUGAAGGUAAUACCUGGGUAUUAGGUUUUGGGGCUAGGGUAAGGUUUAAGGUUUUUGGUGUUAGGGUUAGAAUCACUGUCCAAAACCUUUGUAGGAACUCUUUUCCGACCUUUUGGAGUUAGUUAGACCAAAAAAAAAGAAAAAAGAAAAAAAUAUAUUUGGGGUCUUCGGGCUUCCUGAAGGUAAUACCCGGGUAUGAGGUUAUGGGGCUAGGGAUAGGUUUAAGGUUUUUGGCGUUAGGGUUAAAAUCACUGUCCAAAACCUUUUUAGGAACAUGUUUCAGACCUUUUGGAGUUGGUAACACCAAAAAAAAAUUUAAAAUGCAAAAAAAAAAAAAAUUUGGGGUGUUCAAGCUUCCUGAAGGUAAUACCCGGGUAUUAGGUUUUGGGCCUAGGGUAAGGUUUCAAGGUUUUUGGCGUUAGGGUUAAAAUCACUGUCCAAAACCUUUUAAGGAACAAGAUUCAGACCUUUUGGAGUUGGUUACACCAAAAAAAAAUGUAAAAUGAAAAAAAAAAUAUUUGGGGUGUUCAGGCUUCCUUAAGGUAAUACCCUUCAGGUUUAAGUAUUAGGUUAUGGGGCUAGGAUUAGGUUUAAGGUUUUUGGCGUAAGGGUUAAAAUCACUGUCCAAUAUUUUUUAAGGAACAUGUUUCAGACCUUUUGGAGCUAGUUUGACCAAAAAAAAAAAGAAAAAGAAAAAAUAUAUAUUUGGGGUGUUCGGGCUUCCUGAAGGUAAUACCCGGGUAUUAGGUUAUGGGGCUAGGUUAAGGUUUAAGGUUUUUGGCGUGAGGGUUAAAAUCACUGUCCAAAACCUUUGUAGGAAGUCUUUUCCAACCUUUUGGAGUUAGUUAGACAAAAAAAAAGAUAAAUGAAAAAAAAAUAUUUGGGGUGUUCGGGCUUCCUGAAGGUAAUACCCGGGUAUUAGGUUAUGGGGCUAGGGUAAGGUUUAAGGUUUUUGGCGUAAGGGUUAAAAUCACUGUCCAAAACCUUUUUAGGAACAUGUUUCAGACCUUUUGGAGUUGGUUACACCAAAAAAAAUGUAAAAUGAAAAAAAAUUUUUUUGGGUGUUCGGGCUUCCUGAAGGUAAUACUAGGUUUCUGGGCUAGGGUAAUGUUUAAGGUUUUUGGCGUUAGGGUUAAAAUCAAUGUCCAAAACCUUUGUAGGAACUCUUUUCCAACCUUUGAGAGCAAGUUAGACCAGAACAAAAAGAACUAGGGCCCCGGUGGGGCACUGUCGGGCCCGAGCCGCGUCGUGCCGCCCCCAGCGUGACCGCCUCCCCCUCCCGAUCGCGUCACACUCAAGGUCCAAAGAUGGUGUACGCACUUGUCUGUGGUCAUUUCCCAUUAUAAUGAAUGGGAGGCGCAGUUUCUACCAAAACACUCGCUGCAGACAAACUUCAUGUCCUAUUUGAAAAAAGUCUGGACCAUGAGUGAGGGCACAAACACAGCUGGGAUAUAUCCAAAUGGCAGGUUGCUCCUCGUUACGGUGUUGCCUGGAGAGCGAUGCGAUUGAGCCAUUGAGCGAUGGGCAGGAAAAACUUGACUUUUUCUCCUGCCAUGGGGGGGGGGGAGAAUGUGGAUUCUUUUAAGAAUGUGGAUUUUUUGGUCAUCUUUGGCGCCCCCUAGAACGUAAACCGUGGGGUGCAGCGUCAUGAUUUUUACAACUUUGAAUGGCCAUGGGGUGUAGAUUGGCCUGAGCAAAUUUGGUUUCAGUGGGACGAAAGCCUUAGGAGGAGUUAGCCACAUUCCAAUGUGUGCGAAUCGGCAAAAAAUGCAAAAUAGCCCUCUAACCGUACAUUUGACAGAUACGCACCCAUUGACUUUUUCGUAGAUCUUAUUGAGAUACACGUGAUUGUCAAAUUUUGUGUCAAUAUGACAAAGCGUACAGGUGUCACACUCAACAAUGUGAAUUUUCACCUUACGGGACAAGAAAAAAUUGACUUUUUUCUCCUGCCAUGGGGGGGCGCUCUUUUGGGGAGUAAAAAUUCCUUCACAAAUGUGUUGAUGGCUGGACAUUGCAUCAUCCUAGAAAACUUGGAGGCCAGUGAGGGCAAAAAUAAAAAGUUAUAAGACUUUGAAAUAUGUGGAUUUUAGGGUUAUCUUUGGCGCCCCCUAGAACCUAAACCGUGGGGUGCAGCGUCAUGAUUUGAAUAACUUUUAAUGGCCAUGGGGUGUAGAUUGGCCUGAGCAAAUGUGGUGCCGGUGGAAAGAAAGCCUUCGGAGGAGUUAGCGAAAUUCCAAUGUGUGCGGAUCGGCAAAAAAUGCGGAAUAACCCUUUAACCGUACAUUUGACAGAUACGCCCGCACUGACUUUUUUGUAGAUCUUAUUGAGAUACAUAUGUGUGUCAAUUUUUGUGUCAUUUUGACAAAGCGUAAAGGCGUGACAGUCAAUAGUGUGAAUUUUCACCUUAGGGGGCGCUAUGGAGUCAUUUUGCAUUUUCUUGUUUGGGCGACUUCGGAAUAUCAAAUUUUUCACCAGGCCCGGUCAUCCUGCCAAAUUUCAUGAGUUUUCGCCAGUGGGAAGUGGGCCAUUUUCCAGUUCAAAGGGGAGGAAAAAGAAGAAAGAAAGAAAGAAAGAAACAAGAACUAGGGCCCCGUUGGGGCACUGGCGGGCCCGAGCCGUGUCACGCCGCCCCAGCGCGACCACCUCCCCCACCCGAUCGCGUCACACUCAAGGUCCAAAGAUGGUGUGCGCACUUGUUUGUGGUCAUUUACCAUUAUAAUGAACGGGAGGCGCAGUUUCUACCAAAAAGCUCGCUGCAGAAAAACUCCAUGUCCUAUUUGAAAAAAGUCUGGACCAUGAGUGAGGGCACAGACACAGCUAAGAUAUAUCCAAAUGGCAAGUUGCUCCUCCUUUCGCUUUUGCCGAGAGAGCAGUGCGUUUGAGCCAUUGAAUGAUGAACAGGAAAAACUUGACUUUAUUCUCCUGCCAUGGGGCGCUCUUUUAACGAGAAAAAACUCCUUCACAAAUGUGUUGAUGGCUGGACAUUGCAUCAUCCUAGAAAACAUGGAGGCCAGUGAGGACAAAAAUAAAAAGUUAUAAGACUUUUAAAUAUGUGGAUUUUAGGGUUAUCUUUGGCGCCCCCUAGAACCUAAACCGUGGGGUGCAGCGUCAUGAUUUGAAUAACUUUUAAUGGCCAUGGGGUGUAGAUUGGCCUGAGCAAAUGUGGUGCCGGUGGAACGAAAGCCUUCGAAGGAGUUAGCGAAAUUCCAAUGUGUGCGAAUCUGCAAAAAAUGCGAAAUAACCCUUUAACCGUACAUUUGACAGAUACGCACCCAUUGACUUUUUCGAAGAUCUUAUUGAAAUACACGUGUAUGUAAAAUCUUGUGUCAAUACGACAAAACAUACAGGCGUAGCACUCAACAAUGUGUAUUUUCACCUUAGUGGACAAGAAAAAAUGGACUUUUUUCUCCUGCCAUGGGGGGGCGCUCUUUUGGCGAGUAAAAAUUCCUUCACAAAUGUGUUGAUGGCUGGACAUUGCAUCAUCCUAGAAAACUUGGAGGCCAGUGGGGACAAAAAUAAAAAGUUAUAAGACUUUUAAAUAUGUGGAUUUUACGGUUAUCUUUGGCGCCCCCUAGAACCUAAACCGUGGGGUGCAGCGUCAUGAUUUGAAUAACUUUUAAUGGCCAUGGGGUGUAGAUUGGCCUGAGCAAAUGUGGUGCCGGUGGAACGAAAGCCUUCGGAGGAGUUAGCGAAAUUCCAAUGUGUGCGGAUCGGCAAAAAAUGCGGAAUAACCCUUUAACUGUACAUUUGACAGAUACGCGCGCAUUGACUUUUUCGUAGAUCUUAUUGAGAUACAUGUGUGUGUCAAUUUUUGUGUCAUUUUGCCAAAGCGUACAGGUGUUACACUCAACAAUGUGUAUUUUCACCUUAGGGGACAAGAAAAAAUUGACUUUUUUCUCCUGCCAUGGGGGGGCGCUCUUUUGGGGAGUAAAAAUUCCUUCACAAAUGUGUUGAUGGCUGGACAUUGCAUCAUCCUAGAAAACUUGGAGGCCAGUGAGGGCAAAAAUAAAAAGCUAUAAGACUUUUAAAUAUGUGGAUCUUAGGGUUAUCUUUGGCGCCCCCUAGAACCUAAACCGUGGGGUGCAGCGUCAUGAUUUGAAUAACUUUUAAUGGCCAUGGGGUGUAGAUUGGCCUGAGCAAAUGUGGUGCCGGUGGAACGAAAGCCUUCGGAGGAGUUAGCGAAAUUCCAAUGUGUGCGGAUCGGCAAAAAAUGCAAAAUAACCCUUUAACCGUACAUUUGACAGAUACGCCCGCACUGACUUUUUUGUAGAUCUUAUUGAGAUACAUGUGUGUGUCAAUUUUUGUGUCAUUUGUACAAAGCGUACAGGCGUGACAGUCAAUAGUGUGAAUUUUCACCUUAGGGGGCGCUAUGGAGCCAUUUUGCAUUUUCUUGUUUGGGCGACUUCGGAAUAUAAAAUUUUUCACCAGGCCCGGUCGUCCUGCCAAAUUUCAUGAGUUUUCGCCAGUGGGAAGUGGGCCAUUUUCCAGUUCAAAGGGGAGGAAAAAUAACUAGGGCCCCGGUGGGGCACUGUCGGGCCCGAGCCGCGUUGCGCCGCCCCCAGCGCGACCGCCUCCCCCUCCCGAUCGCGUCACACUCAAGGUCCAAAGAUGGUGUGCGCACUUGUCUGUGGUCAUUUCCCAUUAAAAUGAAUGGGAGGCGCAGUUUCUACCAAAACACUUGCUGCAGACAAACUACAUGUCCUAUUUGAAAAAAGUCUGGACCAUGAGUGAGGGCACAAACACAGCUAGGAUAUAUCCAAACGGCAAGUUGUUCCUCGUUACGGUAUUGUUGACAAAUAUGACAGUCAACAAUGUGUAUUUUCACCUUAUGGGACAAGAAAAAAUGGACUUUUUUCUCCUGCCAUGGGGGGGCGCUCUUUUGGGGAGUAAAAAUUCCUUCACAAAUGUGUUGAUGGCUGGACAUUGCAUCAUCCUAGAAAACUUGGAGGCCAGUGAGGACAAAAAUAAAAAGUUAUAAGACUUUAUAAAUAUGUGGAUUUUAGGGUUAUCUUUGGCGCCCCCUAGAACCUAAACCGUGGGGUGCAGCGUCAUGAUUUGAAUAGCUUUUAAUGGCCAUGGGGUGUAGAUUGGCCUGAGCAAAUGUGGUGCUAGUGGAACGAAAGCCUUAGGAGGAGUUAGCCACAUUCCAAUGUGUGCGGAUCGGCAAAAAAUGCGGAAUAACCCUUUAACCGUACAUUUGACAGAUACGCGCGCAUUGACUUUUUCGUAGAUCUUAUUGAGUUACAUGUGUGUGUCAAUUUUUGUGUCAUUUUGACAAAGCGUAUAGGCGUGACACUCAACAAUGUGUAUUUUCACCUUAGGGGACAAGAAAAAAUGGACUUUUUUCUCCUGCCAUGGGGGGGCGCUCUUUUGGGGAGCAAAAAUUCCUUCACAAAUGUGUUGAUGGCUGGACAUUGCAUCAUCCUAGAAAACUUGGAGGCCAGUGAGGACAAAAAUAAAAAGUUAUAAGACUUUUAAAUAUGUGGAUUUUAGUGUUAUCUUUGGCGCCCCCUAGAACCUAAACCUUGGGGUGCAGCGUCAUGAUUUUGAUAACUUUUAAUGGCCACGGGGUGUAGAUUGGCCUGAGCAAAUGUGGUGCCGGUGGAAUGAAAGCCUUCGGAGGAGUUAGCGAAAUUCCAAUGUGUGCGGAUCGGCAAAAAAUGCGAAAUAACCCUUUAACCGUACAUUUGACAGAUACGCCCGCACUGACUUUUUUGUAGAUCUUAUUGAGAUACAUAUGUGUGUCAAUUUUUGUGUCAAUAUGACAAAGCGUACAGGCGUGACAGUCAAUAGUGUGAAUUUCCACCUUAGGGGGCGCUAUGGAGCCAUUUUGCAUUUUCUUGUUUGGGCGACUUCGGAAUAUCAAAUUUUUCACCAGGCCCGGUCAUCCUGCCAAAUUUCAUGAGUUUUCGCCAGUGGGAAGUGGGCCAUUUUCCAGUUCAAAGGGGAGGAAAAAGAAGAAAGAAAGAAAGAAACAAAGAAACAAAGAAAAACCACUUGGGGAAUAAUAGGGCCUACGCCCGGCUGCUCUGCAGCUGGCUCGGGACCUAAUAACAAAAGAAGGAAACAUGCAGGAACAAGAGGGCUCUCGCAGCUGCUUAGCAGCUACGCUCGGGCCCUAAAAACCACUUGGGGAAUAAUAGGGCUCUCGCAGCUGCUUAGCAGCUACGCUCGGGCCCUAAAAAUAAAAAUAUAUAUUUGGGGUGUUCGGGCUUCCUGAAGGUAAUACCCAGGUAUUAGGUUAUGGGGCUAGGGUAAGGUUUAAGGUUUUUGGCGUGAGGGUAAAAAUCACUGUCCAAAACCUUUGUAGGAACUCUUUUCCAACCUUUGGGAUUAAGUUAGACAAAAAAAAAAAAGAUAAAUGAAAAAAAAAUAUUUGGGGUGUUCGGGCUUCCUGAAGGUAAUACCCAGGUAUUAGGUUUUGGGGCUAGGGUUAGGUUUAAGGUUUUUGGCGUUAGGGUCAAAAUAACUGUCCAAUAUUUUUUAAGGAACAUGUUUAAGACCUUUGGGAGUUGGUUACACCAAAAAAAAAAGUAAAAUUAAAAAAAAAUAUAUUUGGGGUGUUCGGGCUUCCUGAAGGUAAUACCUGGGUAUUAGGUUUUGGGGCUAGGGUAAGGUUUAAGGUUUUUGGUGUUAGGGUUAAAAUCACUGUCCAAAACCUUUGUAGGAACUCUCUCCAACCUUUUGGAGUUAGUUAGACCAAAAAAAACAAAAGAAAAAAAUAUAUAUUUGGGGUCUUCGGGCUUCCUGAAGGAAAUACCCAGGUAUUAGGUUAUGGGGCUAGGGUAAGGUUUAAGGUUUUUGGCGUUAGGGUUAAAAUCACUGUCCAAAACCUUUUUAGGAACAUGUUUCAGACCUUUUGGAGUUGGUUACACCAAAAAAAAAAUGUAAAAUGAAAAAAAAAAUAUUUGGGGUCUUCGGGCUUCCUGAAGGAAAUACCCAGGUAUUAGGUUAUGCCGGGUAUUAGGUUUUGGGGCUAGGGUUAGGUUUAAGGUUUUUGGCGUUAGGGUUAAAAUCACUGUCCAAUAUUUUUUAAGGAACAUGUUUCAGACCUUUGGGAGUUAGUUAGACAAAAAAAAAAAAGAAAAAGAAAAAAAAAUUUGGGGUGUUCGGGCUUCCUGAAGGUAAUACCCUGGUAUUAGGUUAAGGGGCUAGGGUAAGGUUUAAGGUUUUUGGUGUUAGGGUUAAAAUCACCGUCCAAAACCUUUGUAGGAACUCUUUUCCGACCUUUUGGAGUUAGUUAGACCAAAAAAAAAGAAAAAAGAAAAAACUAGGGCCCCGUUGGGGCACUGGCGGGCCCGAGCUGUGUCGCGCCGCCCCCAACACGACCGCCUCUCCCUCCCGAUCGCAUCACACUCAAGGUCCAAAGAUGGUGUUCGCACUUGUCUGUGGUCAUUUACCAUUAUAAUGAAUGGGAGGCGCAGUUUCUGCCAAAACGCUCGCUGCAGACAAACUACAUGUCCUAUUUGAAAAAAGUCUGGAUCAUGAGUGAGGGCACAAACACAGCUAGGAUAUAUCCAAAUGGCAAGUUGCUCCUCCUUUCGGAGGAGUUUGAACACAUGACAUGUGUUUGAGCCAUUGAGCGAUGGGCAGGAAAAACUUGACUUUUUCUCCUGCCAUGGGGGGGCGCUCUUUUGGGGAGUAAAAAUUCCUUCACAAAUGUGUUGAUGGCUAGACAAUGCAUCAUCCUAGAAAACUUGGAAGCCAGUGAGGACAAAAAUGAAAAGUUAUAAGACUUUUAAGAAUGUGGAUUUUUGGGUUAUCUUUGGCGCCCGCUAGAAUGUAAACCGUGGGGUGCAGCGUCAUGAUUUGUACAACUUUUAAUGGCCAUGGGGUGUAGAUUGGCCUGAGCAAAUGUGGUGCCGGUGGAACGAAAGCCUUCGGAGGAGUUAGCGAAAUUCCAAUGUGUGCGGAUCUGCAAAAAAUGCGAAAUAGCCCUUUAACCGUACAUUUGACAGAUACGUGCGCAUAGAAUUUUUGUAGAUCUUAUUGAGAUACACGUGUGUGUCAAAUUUUGUGUCAAUAUGACAAAGCGUAUAGGCGUGACACUCAACAAUAUGUAUUUUCACCUUAGGGGACAAGAAAAAAUGGACUUCUUUCUCCUGCCAUGGGGGGGCGCUCUUUUGGGGAGUAAAAAUUCCUUCACAAAUGUAUUGAUGGCUGGACAUUGCAUCAUCCUAGAAAACUUGGAGGCCAGUGAGGGCAAAAAUAAAAAGUUAUUAGACUUUUAAGAAUGUGGAUUUUUGGGUUUUCUUUGGCGCCCCCUAGAACCUAAACCGUGGGGUGCAGCGUCAUGAUUUGAACAACUUUUAAUGGCCAUGGGGUGUAGAUUGGCCUGAGCAAAUGUGGUGCCGGUGGAACGAAAGCCUUCGGAGGAGUUAGCGAAAUUCCACUGUGUGCGGAUCGGCAAAAAAUGCAAAAUAGCCCUUUAACCGUACAUUUGACAGAUACGCCCGCACUGACUUUUUUGUAGAUCUUAUUGAGAUACACGUGUGUGUCAAAUUUUGUGUCAUUUUGACAAAGCGUACAGGUGUGACACUCAACAAUGUGUAUUUUCACCUUAGGGGACAAGAAAAAAUGGACUUUUUUCUCCUGCCAUGGGGGGGCGCUCUUUUGGGGAGUAAAAAUUCCUUCACAAAUGUGUUGAUGGCUGGACAUUGCAUCAUCCUAGAAAACUUGGAGGCCAGUGAGGACAAAAAUAAAAAGUUAUAAGACUUUUAAAUAUUUGGAUUUUAGUGUUAUCUUUGGCGCCCCCUAGAACCUAAACCUUGGGGUGCAGCGUCAUGAUUUUGAUAACUUUUAAUGGCCACGGGGUGUAGAUUGGCCUGAGCAAAUGUGGUGCCGGUGGAACGAAAGCCUUCGGAGGAGUUAGCGAAAUUCCAAUGUGUGCGGAUCGGCAAAAAAUGCGAAAUAACCCUUUAACCGUAAUUUUGACAGAUACGGCCGCACUGACUUUUUUGUAGAUCUUAUUGAGAUACAUAUGUGUGUCAAUUUUUGUGUCAAUAUGACAAAGCGUACAGGCGUGACAGUCAAUAGUGUGAAUUUCCACCUUAGGGGGCGCUAUGGAGCUAUUUUGCAUUUUAUUGUUUGGGCGACUUCAGAAUAUCGAAUUUUUCACCAGGCCCGGUCGUCCUGCCAAAUUUCAUGAGUUUUCGCCAGUGGGAAGUGGGCCAUUUUCCAGUUCAAAGGGGAGGAAAAAGAAGAAAGAAAGAAAGAACUAGGGCCCCGUUGGGGCACUGUCGGGCCCGAGCCGUGUCGCACCCCCCCCCCCCCCUCCCCCUCCCCCCAACGUGCUGCCUCCCCGUCCCAUUUGUGUCCUCUGGCCAUCGCCC